rnacentral:rRNA from 1 species
GACGAACCGUGCGAACGUUGUUCGGAAUCACUGGGCUUAAAGGGCGCGUAGGCGGGCUCGCAAGUCUGUGGUGAAAUCCUCCAGCUUAACUGGAGAAUGGCCGUGGAUACUGCGGGUCUCGAGGGAGGUAGGGGCGUGCGGAACAGAUGGUGGAGCGGUGAAAUGCGUUGAUAUCAUCUGGAACUCCGGUGGCGAAGGCGGCACGCUGGACCUCAUCUGACGCUGAGGCGCGAAAGCCAGGGGAGCAAACGG